rnacentral:lncRNA from 1 species
UCUGUUCUCAAGUUCAUUUCAGGAAAGGGCAAGAAAGGAUACCUCACUGGAAAGACAGUUCAGCCAGUGGAAGAGGAUCCAGCCUUCAUCACAUGGGAUAUUGAGGACAACAUGGUCCAAUCAUGGCUGCUCAAUUCCAUGAAUACCUCAAUCGGAGAAAGGUUUCUCCUUCAUAAAACUGCUUAUGAGAUUUGGGAAAGUGUUCACCAUACAUACUCGAAGCAGGAGAACAAUGCAGAGCUGUUUGACCUGGAAAUCCGCCUGCACAAUCUAAAUCAGGGAGAGAAGACUGUCACACAGUACUAUGAUGAGUUAAGUAAGUACUGGUUACAACAAGACAUGUAUGACGUGCAUAUUUGGACCUGCAACCAGGACUCAGAACUCUAUCGACAGAUCCUGGCAACAAAAAGGACUAUCCGAUUCCUCAUGGGCCUCAAUCAAGAGCUUGACGAAGUAAGAGGAAGAAUCAUGGGACAAACUCUUUUACCUAGAGCCAAGGAUGCUUUUGCUGAAGUCCGCUGGGAAGAAAGUCGUCGAAGGAUCAUAAUCACCGACACUAAACCAACUACUGAGGGAUCUGCCCUUGCCAGUCAGUACAGCGGCA